AGGAAGUGGAAGACAAGCAAUGGCUUCUGAAAGUAAAAUUGGUAAUGACCAGCAAACACACAGAGAGACUGGAGGCCAAAGUGAGAAACAUAAAAUUGUAUGGCUCUUCAUUUCAUUGCCUGAAACCAAGAAGCUGGAUAAGCGAUGAGGUUAUUGAUGCAUUUUUGAGCUGUGUAGUUGAGAAAGCAGAUGGAAAGGUACAAGCCAUCUCAUCAGUAGUUUCCACUGUCAUUCUCUCAGGCAGAGCUACACAAGUGAAAGUGAAGAGUGAAUUACUUCAAAAUGAUAUAUUAUUGCUUCCUUACCACACACCAGGUCAUUGGGUUCUUG